rnacentral:rRNA from 1 species
GUGGGGGAUAUUGCGCAAUGGGCGAAAGCCUGACGCAGCGACGCCGCGUGGGUGAUGAAGGCCUUCGGGUCGUAAAGCCCUGUCGAGGGGAAAGAACCGGCUCCACCCUAAUACGGUGGAGCCCUGACGGUACCCCUAAAGGAAGCACCGGCUAACUCCGUGCCAGCAGCCGCGGUAAUACGGAGGGUGCUAGCGUUGUUCGGAAUCACUGGGCGUAAAGCGCGUGUAGGCGGCCGACUAAGUCUGAUGUGAAAGCCCGGGGCUCACCCCCGGAAGUGCAUUGGAAACUGGUAGGCUCGAGUCCCGGAGAGGAGGGUGGAAUUCCUGGUGUAGCGGUGAAAUGCGUAGAUAUCAGGAGGAACACCGGUGGCGAAGGCGGCCCUCUGGACGGUGACUGACGCUGAGACGCGAAAGCGUGGGGAGCAAACAGGAUUAGAAACCCUUGUAGUCC